GCAUUAAUUGUGAAGUGGUAACCUGGAUCGCUCAUGCUCAAGAUCAAGGUCCUCUAUUCGUCUCGGCUCACCGGGGGUUCGAUUCCCACUUAAUCCA